rnacentral:rRNA from 1 species
AACGUACCUUUUAGACUGGAAUAACGGUGAGAAAUUAUCGCUAAUGCCGGAUAUAUAAGAAAAUCGCAUGAWUUUUUUAAGAAAGAAGCGUUUGCUUCACUAAGAGAUCGGGGUGCGGAACAUUAGCUAGUUGGUAGGGUAAAGGCCUACCAAGGCAAUUAUGUUUAGCGGGGUUGAGAGACUGAACCGCCACACUGGGACUGAGAUACGGCCCAGACUCCUACGGGAGGCAGCAGUAGGGAAUUUUCCACAAUGGGCGAAAGCCUGAUGGAGCAACACAGCGUGCAGGAUGAAGGCCUUCGGGUUGUAAACUGCUGUUAUAUGGGAAGAAAAACUAGUAUAGGAAAUGAUAUUAGCUUGACGGUACCAUGUCAGAAAGCAACGGCUAACUAUGUGCCAGCAGCCGCGGUAAUACAUAGGUUGCAAGCGUUAUCCGGAAUUAUUGGGCGUAAAGCGUCUGUAGGUUGUUUGUUAAGUCUGGUGUUAAAACUUGGAGCUCAACUCCAAAUUGCAUUGGAUACUGGCAGACUAGAAUUGUUUAGAGGUUAGCGGAAUUCCUUGUGAAGCGGUGGAAUGCGUAGAUAUAAGGAAGAACACCAACAUGGCGAAGGCAGCUAACUGGGAACAUAUUGACACUGAGAGACGAAAGCGUGGGGAGCAAACAGGAUUAGAUACCCUGGUAGUCCACGCUGUAAACGAUGAUGACUAGUUGAUGGAAACCAUCGACGCAGCUAACGCAUUAAGUCAUCCGCCUGAGUAGUAUGCUCGCAAGAGUGAAACUUAAAGGAAUUGACGGGGAUCCGCACAGCGGUGGAGCAUGUGGUUUAAUUUGAAGAUACGCGUAGAACCUUACCCACUCUUGACAUCCU